GAUGAACGCUGGCGGCGUGCCUAAUACAUGCAAGUCGAGCGAACAGACGAGGAGCUUGCUCCUCUGACGUUAGCGGCGGACGGGUGAGUAACACGUGGAUAACCUACCUAUAAGACUGGGAUAACUUCGGGAAACCGGAGCUAAUACCGGAUAAUAUAUUGAACCGCAUGGUUCAAUAGUGAAAGACGGUUUUGCUGUCACUUAUAGAUGGAUCCGCGCCGCAUUAGCUAGUUGGUAAGGUAACGGCUUACCAAGGCAACGAUCCGUAGCCGACCUGAGAGGAUGAUCAGCCACACUGGAACUGAGACACGGUCCAGACUCCUACGGGAGGCAGCAGUAGGGAAUCUUCCGCAAUGGGCGAAAGCCUGACGGAGCAACGCCGCGUGAGUGAUGAAGGUCUUCGGAUCGUAAAACUCUGUUAUUAGGGAAGAACAAAUGUGUAAGUAACUAUGCACGUCUUGACGGUACCUAAUCAGAAAGCCACGGCUAACUACGUG
rnacentral:rRNA from 1 species